rnacentral:rRNA from 1 species
UGCGGGGGGGGCAAGCGUUGUUCGGAAUUACUGGGCGUAAAGGGCUCGUAGGCGGCCAACUAAGUCGGACGUGAAAUCCCCAGGCUCAACCUGGGAACUGCGUCCGAUACUGGAUGGCUUGAAUCCGGGAGAGGGAUGCAGAAUUCCAGGUGUAGCGGUGAAAUGCGUAGAUAUCUGGAGGAAUACCGGUGGCGAAGGCGGCAUCCUGGACCGGCAUUGACGCUGAGGAGCGAAAGCCAGGGGAGCAAACGGG